AUUGAACGCUGGCGGCAUGCCUUACACAUGCAAGUCGAACGGUAACAGGUCUUCGGAUGCUGACGAGUGGCGAACGGGUGAGUAAUACAUCGGAACGUGCCUAGUAGUGGGGGAUAACUACUCGAAAGAGUGGCUAAUACCGCAUGAGAUCUACGGAUGAAAGCAGGGGAUUGCAAGACCUUGUGCUACUAGAGCGGCCGAUGGCAGAUUAGGUAGUUGGUGGGAUAAAAGCUUACCAAGCCGACGAUCUGUAGCUGGUCUGAGAGGACGAUCAGCCACACUGGGACUGAGACACGGCCCAGACUCCUACGGGAGGCAGCAGUGGGGGAUUUUGGACAAUGGGCGCAAGCCUGAUCCAGCAAUGCCGCGUGCAGGAUGAAGGCCUUCGGGUUGUAAACUGCUUUUGUACGGAACGAAAAGCCCUGGGUUAAUACCCUGGGGUCAUGACGGUACCGUAAGAAUAAGCACCGGCUAACUACGUGCCAGCCGCCGCAGUAACAC
rnacentral:rRNA from 1 species